AGAGUUUGAUCCUGGCUCAGGACGAACGCUGGCGGCGUGCUUAACACAUGCAAGUCGAGCGGAAAGGCCCUUCGGGGUACUCGAGCGGCGAACGGGUGAGUAACACGUGAGCAACCUGCCCCUGGCUCUGGGAUAGCCUCCGGAAACGGGGAUUAAUACCGGAUAUGACCUGCGGCCGCAUGGCUGUGGGUGGAAAGUUU
rnacentral:rRNA from 1 species